UAAAGAUCCGUCGGAUGAGGAUAGGCUCGCGUGACAUUAGCUAGACGGCGGGGUAACGGCCCACCGUGGCGACGAUGUCUAGGGGUUCUGAGAGGAAGGUCCCCCACACUGGAACUGAGACACGGUCCAGACUCCUACGGGAGGCAGCAGUGAGGAAUAUUGGUCAAUGGCCGGAAGGCUGAACCAGCCAUGCCGCGUGAAGGUCAGUGCCCUAUGGGCGUUAAACUUCUUUUGUGCGGGAGCAAUAAGGGCCACGCGUGGCCUGACGAGAGUACCGUACGAAUAAGCAUCGGCUAACUCCGUGCCAGCAGCCGCGGUAAUACGGGGGAUGCAAGCGUUAUCCGGGUUUAUUGGGUUUAAAGGGUGCGUAGGCUGUGAGGUAAGUCAGCGGUGAAAUGCCCCCGCUCAACGGGGUGAAGUGCCAUUGAUACUGCCUUGCUGGAAUGCGGAUGCCGUGGGAGGAAUGUGUGGUGUAGCGGUGAAAUGCAUAGAUAUCACACAGAACACCGAUUGCGAAGGCAUCUCACGAAUCCGCGAUUGACGCUGAUGCACGAAAGCGUGGGUAUCAAACAGGAUUAGAUACCCUGGUAGUCCACGCUGUAAACGAUGAUGACUAACCGUCGGCGAUACACAGUCG
rnacentral:rRNA from 1 species